AUUUGUAUAAUAUAAAUAAUUAUAUUUGACUUCCAAUCAGAAAAUCUAUUCACUAGUACAAAUA
rnacentral:tRNA from 1 species